rnacentral:lncRNA from 1 species
UUUAGUGGUUUUCGUAACUAAUGUUCAUCAGGUUUCAGAGAGGACAAAACCUUUCGCUUCGUGGCAAAUUAAAUUCUCGCCUGAAAAUUGGUGACUACCACAUUGUUAUUUACAAGGGAUGUACAUAUAAUAUGGGGAUAAUUUUAGAUCUUAAAGUAGAUUGAUAUUCAAAACAGUGUGGCUGUGGCCAUUGAUUGACACAUUAAAUUCAUCCAUUGACUGGGACAAUUUACGUGAA